rnacentral:rRNA from 1 species
AUUGAACGCUGGCGGCAGGCCUAACACAUGCAAGUCGAGCGGUAGAGAGGUGCUUGCACCUCUUGAGAGCGGCGGACGGGUGAGUAAUGCCUAGGAAUCUGCCUGGUAGUGGGGGAUAACGCUCGGAAACGGACGCUAAUACCGCAUACGUCCUGCGGGAGAAAGCAGGGGACCUUCGGGCCUCGCGCUAUCAGAUGAGCCUAGGUCGGAUUAGCUAGUUGGUGAGGUAAUGGCUCACCGAGGCGACGAUCCGUAACUGGUCUGAGAGGAUGAUCAGUCACACUGGAACUGAGACACGGUCCAGACUCCUACGGGAGGCAGCAGUGGGGAAUAUUGGACAAUGGGCGAAAGCCUGAUCCAGCCAUGCCGCGUGUGUGAAGAAGGUCUUCGGAUUGUAAAGCACUUUAAGUUGGGAGGAAGGGUCGUUACCUAAUACGUGACGAUUUUGACGUUACCGACAGAAUAAGCACCGGCUAACUCUGUGCCAGCAGCCGCGGUAACAC